rnacentral:rRNA from 1 species
GAUGAACGCUGGCGGCGUGCCUAACACAUGCAAGUCGAACGGACAGACCCUGAGGUUUCCCCUCGUACGUAACCGGCGGAUAACUCAUGGACACUUUGAUCACCACUUUAGGAUAAUGCGGGGAAUCCGGGUAACAUGACGUAAAGCAGCACGCUAUUUUGAGCGGGAUGGGUAAAUAGUUUGCGGCGUGGGAUGGGACCCCGGUAUAUCGGCUCGUUGGGGGGGUACUGGCCUACCAAGGCGACGACGGGUAGCCCGCCUGAGAGGGGGACCGCCCACACUGGGACUGAGAUACGGCCCAGACUCCUACGGGAGGCAGAAGUGGGGAAUAUUGCACAAUGGGCGCAAGCCUGAUGCAGCGACGCCGCGUGCGGGAUGACGGCCUUCGGGUUGUAAACCUCUUUCACCAGGGACGAAGCGUAAGUGACGGUACCUGGAGAAGAAGCACCGGCCAACUACGUG